UCCGAGAAAUGUUGUUUUUGCUCCGUUGGGAAAAUGGAGCACGCGUAGAAGUGCCAUGGUGAAACGGUUAGCGGUUAUGAUCACGUUGGUGAAAAGCGGAAAAUUGGGGAACACAAUUAGAUACUGAAGGGUGAAAACCAAGGCCUUCUCGAUCAAGAAACCGUGCUGAACUUAUUAUUCCCUCGUAAUAUUCCACACUAAUAACAGCUACUUAAGUGUUUCGAAAGCUGUUGCUGCUGCUGCGGUUGCCAUAGUUCUCCUCUUCGACCGAACCUAAUACCGGGUUAUUCGUCCAACGGGACCCAUUCGGCCCGGCCCAUCAAUCGUGCCAAAGGAGGAUGUGUCAAUCAGCGGAGCGUAUCGUUGCCUUGGUUUUGUCUUCAUUUCUAACACGAUACCUAUGAUAGAUUGGUGGUCUCUAACAAAGGAGUAGAAAUUUGCAACGAAUGGAGCGAGGUGUUGCUCAAUCGAACACAUUCCGAGAUAUUGUCACUGCGAAAAUUGCUGCUAAUAUCUAUGUACGCCUCCACAGAGACGCGGGGGAUGUGUUAUUUUUUGGUGAAUUAUGGUAAAAAAUCAUAUGCCACAUACAUAUGAGAAAGUUGUUGCAAUCACCAUGCAUUCCUAUUGCAUAACGGGUUAGUUGGCAAAUGUGUGCUGGCCCAGGUGCUCACGAAACGAGCGAUCUCAAGAAAUACACAGCGAAUUGUAAUUAGACCGAAUAAGAUUCGAACCGAUGGGAACGGAUAGUAUAAAUCAUUUCCUGAAGCAAACGGUUCGGUGUAAAUUAUUUUGAUUUAUUGUUUCCCUCAACGGAUGAACAAGCAUGUAACAAUAAAUUCGUGUUAUCAAAUGAUCAGUGCUCGUUGCAACUUGCGGAAAUAACUGAGAACUUUCAUUGAGAAGUGAAAAUGGUAAUUUUUACAC